rnacentral:miRNA from 1 species
UGACAUUUUGCUCCAGAUUCA